GGUAAGGGUGAGAUAAAUCCUAAGGGGUACUAGGCUAAAAUUCAAAGAGACAAAAGAGACUUGAAAGAAACUGCGGGAGUUGAGUUUACAAAAUAUUUCAUUCACUUCAACAACUCUAUAUUAACCGUUUUCGUUCAUAUUUUUUUCUCCUUUCUCUUUUUUCUUUUUCUUUUUUUCUUUUUCAUACGGAAUACGUAUUAACAUGUAUACAUCCUUCUAUUUUUUUUAUUCAUUUUUUUUCGUUUCUAUUUUUCUUUUCUUUUUCUACCAACUUCUGAAAUAUUGCAAACAUAAUUAUUCACCCCACACAACUCCAAACAAG
rnacentral:lncRNA from 1 species